AUUGAACGCUGGCGGCAUGCCUAACACAUGCAAGUCGAACGGCAGCACAGUGUGUAGCAAUACACACGGGUGGCGAGUGGCGGACGGGUGAGUAAUACGUAGGGAUCUGCCUCGAAGAGGGGGACAAUCCGGGGAAACCCGGGCUAAUACCGCAUACAAUUCUUCGGAAGAAAGCUUGGGCAACCAGGCGCUCUGAGAGUAACCUACGGUCGAUGAGCUAGUUGGGGAGGUAAAGGCUUACCAAGGGGAUGAUCGGUAGCUGGUGUGAGAGGAUGACCAGCCACACUGGGACUGAGACACGGCCCAGACUCCUACGGGAGGCAGCAGUGGGGAAUAUUGGACAAUGGGGGCAACCCUGAUCCAGCGAUGCCGCGUGUGUGAAGAAGGCCUUCGGGUUGUAAAGCACUUUAGUUGGGGAAGAAGUUGCAUGGUUGAAUAGGCUGUGUAAUUGACGGUACCCAAAGAAUAAGCACCGGCUAACUCUGUGCCAGCAGCCGCCGUAA
rnacentral:rRNA from 1 species